UACAGAGGGGGCAAGCGUUGUUCGGAAUUACUGGGCGUAAAGGGCGCGUAGGCGGCUUGGCAAGUGGAAGGUGAAAUCCCUCGGCUUAACCGAGGAACUGCCUUCCAGACUGCUUUGCUUGAGGCCGGGAGAGGUGAGUGGAAUUCCCAGUGUAGCGGUGAAAUGCGUAGAUAUUGGGAGGAACACCAGAGGCGAAGGCGGCGACCUGGACAAGUACUGACACUCAACUACGAAAGCGUGGGGAGCAAACAGG
rnacentral:rRNA from 1 species